CAAAGGACCAGGCGCACCUACCCCCACCCCUUCAUUUCAUAAAUCGAUUCUCCAUCCAAGGGGCGCAGGGCGCUUCCGGGAAACAGAUCAGGGGAGCAGGCAGAGAAGUACUAGAAAAUAAAGGCGAUGGAAACACAAACCCUAUCAAUACAAAUGAAGAAAAAAGGGUUCUUCCCCUGGCCUACCUGCUGACAACCUCCAUGGGCUUCAUUCUUCACUGCCGGAGAAACUCUGAAAACAUGGAGACCAUUUGCUGUGAGCAUCCUCUUCUCCCCUCUUCCUCAUCUCCUAUCAUUCAGGCUCUGCAGAAACAGGCACCUAAUUCUAUCAUGGCUGCAGCAGUGAAUGGGGGACCAUCUUUUUGGAAAAGAAAAUGGCUACAUGUUAUAAGAAGGCCCCACUGACCAAAGUCCAACCAUGGGAUGUUAUGGAAAGGAAGAAGAAAAGACCUCAAGACAAAAGUAUGGGAGAACCCCGUGUGAAGCAAUCAAGGAAUGGCUUCAUGCAUCUUGAAAUGACCUAUGAUUUGGGAAAUUAGGAAUCUCAGAAAUACAAAAAACCAGGAAAUUAAUCCACCAGCAAUGAAUGAAUGAACCUUUCCCUCCACAAAUCUCCGAGUCGGAAUUCCAUUCCUUAUUUUAAUCAUUGCCAAUAUAUCAGGUAGUUUUAGACCUUAAAGAUGCUUUCAUUUUCACUUCCUGAAUAUUAGUGAGGUUGAACAUUAUUUCAAGAGAUUACUCACAAUUUGUGUUUCUUGUUUGGGAAAUUACCUAUUUAUUUCCUUUAUCUAUUCAUCCAUU